GACGGAGGGUGCUAGCGUUGUUCGGAAUUACUGGGCGUAAAGGGCGCGCAGGCGGCUGCUCAAGUCAGGCGUGAAAGGCCUGGGCUCAACCCGGGAAUUGCGCUUGAGACUGGGCUGGCUUGAGUGCGGGAGAGGAUGGUGGAAUUCCCAGUGUAGAGGUGAAAUUCGUAGAUAUUGGGAAGAACACCGGUGGCGAAGGCGGCCAAUCGUCGGACCGCAACGUG
rnacentral:rRNA from 1 species